rnacentral:rRNA from 1 species
UACGUAGGUGGCAAGCGUUGUCCGGAAUUAUUGGGCGUAAAGAGCGUGUAGGCGGCUUGGUAGGUCCGCUGUGAAAACUCGAGGCUCAACCUCGAGAUGUCGGCGGAAACCACUUGGCUAGAGUCCGGAAGAGGAGAGUGGAAUUCCCGGUGUAGCGGUGAAAUGCGCAGAUAUCGGGAAGAACACCUAUGGCGAAGGCAGCUCUCUGGGACGGUACUGACGCUGAGACGCGAAAGCGUGGGGAGCGAACAGG